AGAGAGAGACAUGCGCGCAUAUCAAUAAGCGGAGGAAAAGAAACUAACUAGGAUUCCCUCAGUAACGGCGAGUGAAGCGGGAAGAGCUCAAAUUUGAAAUCUUCAAGGUUCUACCUUGACGAAUUGUAGUUUAAAGAAGUGUUUUCUGUUGGAGGUUUUGGUAAAAGUUCUUUGGAAUAGGACAUCAUAGAGGGUGAGAAUCCCGUAUUUGACCAUUUACUUUCCAGCUUUGUGAUACACUUUCAAAGAGUCGGAUUGUUUGGGAAUGCAGGCCAAAAUGGGUGGUAAAUUUCAUCUAAAGCUAAAUAUUGGCGAGAGACCGAUAGCGAACAAGUACCGUGAGGGAAAGAUGAAAAGAACUUUGAAAAGAGAGUUAAACAGUACGUGAAAUUGUCAAAAGGGAAGCGUUUGACACCAGUGUUGUUUUUCUCGAAAAUCAAUUAAAAAAGGCAGGAUUUUGUGUUGUAUUGACUUUAUCAGCUUUCUGCACUCUUUUCUUGUCUUUUUUAAUGCACUUUUCGUUUAACAAGUCAACAUCAAUUUCUUUUGUUGUAAAAGGGUCAUUGGAAGGUGGCUUUCUUUUCGGAGAAAGUGUUUAUAGCCUUUGGCCUCUGCAAUCGGAGAGAUUGAGGUCUGCAGCGUAGAUCCUUCGGGGUUAGAUACAUUUGUGCUAAGUUAUAGCCUUUCAUAGACAACUUGUUGACUAUGAUCAGUCAUGUAGCUUACUCGCUUAUGCUAUUUUACCUACGCUUAGGAUGUUGAUGUGAUACUGCGAGCA
rnacentral:rRNA from 1 species